GUCUUGGAGGCAAGCGUUAGAGGUGGGAGUACGGACAGAGGAUAUACGUAGGUCUUUGGCAGAGCGUAGGGGCCUCGACGGGACAUACUUGUGUAUUAGGGAGGAUAGGUAAGUUGGAGCAGCAUUAUGUAGGGACUUGUAAGCAAGCACCAGAAUUUUAAAUUGAGCCCUAUAUCUAACUGGAAGCCAAUGCAGAGACUGACAGAGCGGGGAGGUGUAAGAGGUGCGGGCGGAC